GGUUCUGGUUCAGGUUCUGGUUCAGGUUCUGGUCCAGGUUCUGGACGUGGUUCUGGUUCAGGUUCAGGCUCGGGUUCUGCAAAAUGUCUUCUAGCAUGAUGAGCAAGAGGUUCUGGUUCUGGUUCCGGUUCUGGUCCUGGUUCUGGUCCUGGUUCUGGUCCUGGCUCUGGCCUUGGUUCUGGUUCUGGUUCUG